UACGAAGGGGGCUAGCGUUGCUCGGAAUCACUGGGCGUAAAGGGUGCGUAGGCGGGCCUUUAAGUCAGGGGUGAAAUCCUGGAGCUCAACUCCAGAACUGCCUUUGAUACUGAAGAUCUUGAGUUCGGGAGAGGUGAGUGGAACUGCGAGUGUAGAGGUGAAAUUCGUAGAUAUUCGGAAGAACACCAGUGGCGAAGGCGGCUCACUGGACUGGUAUUGACGCUGAGGUGCGAAAGCGUGGGGAGCAAACAGG
rnacentral:rRNA from 1 species